UCAGCGCCAUGGAUAGUAACAAGGGGAGGGAGCUGCAGGUCGAGAGGCGCUCUUUUUGCGUCGCCUUUUUUCUAUUUGAGAGAGAUAUAUGCUACGAGCGAUUGAUGUAUAGUCCAGGAACCUUGAUUCUGCUAUACUGCCUUCAAUUCUGCUACUCCUUGCCAAGGAUUUGUUCUCCAAUUUUGCUAUUGCUUCCAAUUUUGGUACUGUACUGAUUGAUGUACUGGUGCCGCUAUUAAGAAGGAGAGUUGGAUGGCACUCCGCCUCAGCGGAGGCAAGACGGCCAGCAACCUGGGGCGAAGAAAUCAUGGCGGCAACUGCUUCAGUUCAACACCUUGCUGGAGCAACAGCCUGAGAUGGUCCUCACACCCAAGGCAACAAUGUGCAUCCAAGGAGUGCUAGCAAGAAGGAGGCGCGCCAUGCAUGGCGAGGUGAUAAAAUUUUCGGUGUUGGCGAUGCAUGGCAUGGAGCAGUCCCAUGGAGUAUGUCGUUUCUGUUGCCCGGUCCUUGCUUUCCAUCGAUGUGAGCAUAUGAGACACACUGGUGGUGCUGACAUGCUCAACGCCCCCUUACUGAUCAGCAAGAACGAUUUCUAUGUGAUUAUUACACUGGACAAUUUUUUCCAUGUAAUCUUGACGCUGAACCUUGGGUGCAUCGAUUGUGAACUGAAUGACGAUCCAAUGUAUUUGCAACUCAUAAUCAUGAGAACUCAUUUCUAGCCAUCUAGAGGAUAACAUCAUGAGAACUCUUUUCUGGCCAUCUAGAGGAUAACUGGAUAUCUUUUUCUGAAGACCUGGACUCGCUGAAAAAUCUGGCAGUGGACAUGAGCGAGGUUUGUUGCAAAUACUUGGUGUAAUACAUUCCAAGUAAAAUCUAAAGUUGUAUGUGUAACCUUGAUUCUCUAGAGUUAUAAUUGUUUGUGA